UUGCCAAAUUGUUGCCUCGUGAAGAAAGGACUUUACAUUGCGACAAGUUGCAAUGCGAGAAUUGAGAAAACACUGAGCAGCUGCACAUAUUGUCGAAGCUUAUCCUUUAAUUGUUGGCCCUUUUGACCUGCCUUAAUUUACAUAUCAUUGGGAAUGAACAACUUGUGUGCAUGUUCUUCAAGACUGAGGACAAUGAAAAGCGCACAAUUGGACCACAACCGAAGCUUGUCUUUUCAAGAUCGAUCCCGAAGCUCAUGCUUUUGUGUGCUCCAUGCUUCAUAAGCACACCAUAUAUUUCGGUUUCAUGCAUUUGAGCUUUUCAUUCGCGUCGAGUGGAUCUCGAAGGUCAUAGAUUUGAUGGCUCUUUACGUCCGCAUACGUCAUGGUAAUCCAUCGUUAGUCGUGUCGAGCCAAAUCAAGCCUCCUGGAAAUCCGAAACUAACGGCGUCGCUGUUAGCGCGGUCGAUUUCAUUUCGUUGCGUUACAAAAUGGGUAAGAAGCGCUAGAGAUUUCAUUCCUAACGAAGGACCACCGGUGUUUUUGCGUCGCCCGCUUUUGUGAGCCAUUCGCCGUGACUUACAUAGUAUUGUACGCAACUUCUUUUUUGCACUUUGCGCUGGUAUUGCUCUGCGCGCGCGACGUGGUUAUGCGGAUAGACUCCACAGACAACUUCGUGACAUGUACUGACGAUUCCUUCUGGCGUGCCUAUGAACUGUAGUUUUCGUCGCAACAUGUGCCGUGCACGUGCAAGACGCAGUCGUACUCGUGGUAGCUAUGUAGUGAACGCUCGUGCAAUAUAUGCGGGCCCUGAAGACUGAAUGCAAGUGAUUGCAACGCGGCCAGCAAAGAUCUUCCCGCCAAAGAGUUCGGUUCGGAAGACGCGGAAGCAGUCCGAUCCGCGCCCAGAACUUCAGGGCUAUGGGACUCGACAGGCUCAUGGUCUUCUCGAGGUCGUCCUCCGCUCGAUCUGGACGAGAGGUGAACGUCACAUCAACUCACCUGACAGAAUACGUCCUCGUCGACUACUGCGCGUCCCGUAAGUUGUCCCGUUCAUGCGCCCGAUCCAACGCAGAGCUACGCAGCAAUAUUGGCUCCGGCAUCGAAUGC